AGUGGAUGGGGAGCAACCUAGUUGUGCGUGUGUAAAGGUAGUGCCAAGAAAAGCGAUGAUCAUGUUGAAAAUCAAUUCCCGGUACCCGAAACCGACACAGGUGGGCAAGUAGAGAAUACUAAGGGGCGCGAGGUAACUCUCUCCAAGGAACUCGGCAAAAUGACCCCGUAACUUAGGGAGAAGGGGUGCCACCGAGAGGUGGUCGCAGUGAAGAGGCCCAGGCGACUGUUUAGCAAAAACAUAGGUCUCUGCAAACUCGAAAGAGGAGGUAUAGGGGCUGACGCCUGCCCAGUGCCGGAAGGUUAAAGAAGUUGGUCAGUUUUAGGAUGAAGCUAGCGACUGAAGCCCCGGUGAACGGCGGCCGUAACUAUAACGGUCCUAAGGUAGCGAAAUUCCUUGUCGGGUAAGUUCCGACCCGCACGAAAGGCGUAACGAUCUGGGCGCUGUCUCGGAGAGAGGCUCGGCGAAAUAGGAUUGUCUGUGAAGAUACGGACUACCUGCAUUUGGACAGAAAGACCCUAUGAAGCUUUACUAUAGCUUGGAAUUGUGUUCGGGCUUCCUGUGCGCAGGAUAGGUGGGAGGCGUAGAAGGUAUUCUUGUGGGGAUACUGGAGCCAACGGUGAGAUACCACUCUCAGGAGGCUAGAAUUCUAACUUAAUUAAGGACAGUUUCAGGUGGGUAGUUUGACUGGGGCGGUCGCCUCCAAAAAGGUAACGGAGGCGUACAAAGGUUCCCUCAGACUGGUUGGAAAUCAGUCGAAGAGUGCAAAGGCAGAAGGGAGCUUGACUGCGAGAAGUACAGUUCGAGCAGGGUGGAAACACGGUCUUAGUGAUCCGACGGUGCUGUGUGGAAGGGCCGUCGCUCAACGGAUAAAAGUUACUCUAGGAUAACAGGCUGAUCUCCCCCAAAAGUUCACAUCGACGGGGAGGUUUGGCACCUCGAUGUCGGCUCAUCGCAACCUGGGGCGGAAGUACGUCCCAAGGGUUGGGCUGUUCGCCCAUUAAAGCGGUACGUGAGCUGGGUUCAGAACGUCGUGAGACAGUUCGGUCCAUAUCCGAUGUAGGCGUGAGAAUAUUGAGAGGAGCCUUCCUUAGUACGAGAGGACCGGGAAGGACGCACCGCUGGUGUACCUGUUAUGAUGCCAAUUGUAAACGCAGGGUAGCCAAGUGCGGAGAGGAUAACCGCUGAAAGCAUCUAAGUGGGAAGCCCACCUCAAGAUGAGUAUUCUGGUGUAAGGUCACGGGAAGACGACCCGUAAAUAGGCACGAGGUGGAAGUGCAGAGAUGUAUGAAGCCGAAGUGUACUAAUAGACCGUCGGCUUGACC
rnacentral:rRNA from 1 species